GAAACGAAAUAAGGGCAUACGGAGGAUGCCUAGGCUCUGCAAGGCGAAGAAGGACGUGAUAAGCUGCGAAAAGCUGCGGGGAGGUGCAAAUAACCCUUGAUCCGCAGAUGUCCGAAUGGGGCAACCCACCAGCAAUGGUACCUCGGAUGAGGAGCGAACCCUCUGAACUGAAACAUCUAAGUAGGAGGAGGAAGAGAAAACAAAAGUGAUACCGCAAGUAGUGGCGAGCGAACGCGGCACAGCCCAAACCCAUGGCGUUUCGGCGUGAUGGGGGUUGUAGGACUGCGAUAUAUGACUACGCAAAGAAUUGGAACGGCAUGGAAAGGCCGGUCAGAGAGGGUGAGAACCCCGUACAAGUAAAGUGCGUAGGAGUUAGCAGUAUCCUGAGUAGAUCGGGGCACGAGAAACCCAGAUUGAAACGGGCGGGACCACCCGCCAAGGCUAAACACUCUGCAGAGACCGAUAGCGAACCAGUACCGUGAGGGAAAGGUGAAAAGAACCUUGAAUAAAGGAGUGAAAAAGACCCUGAAACCGUGUGCCUACAAGCGGUCGGAGCGGCGCGAUGCCGUGACGGCGUGCCUUUUGCAUAAUGAUCCUACGAGUUACUGUUACCGGCAAGGUUAAGCACUUCAGGUGCGUAAGCCGCAGCGAAAGCGAGUCUUAAAAGGGCGUCAAAGUCGGUAGGAGUAGACGCGAAACCUUGUGAUCUACCCAUGGCCAGGUUGAAGUGGGGGUAACACCCCAUGGAGGACCGAAUCGGUAAGCGUUGAAAAGCUUUCGAAUGAGCUGUGGGUAGGGGUGAAAGGCCAAUCAAACUGGGAAAUAGCUCGUACUCCCCGAAAUGCAUUUCGGUGCAGCGUCGGAGCGAGUUUUACAUAGGUAGAGCUACUGAUUGAAUGCGGGGGCUUCACCGCCUACCAAUUUCAGACAAACUCCGAAUGGUGUAAAACAUCUCCGGCAGUGAGGGCAUGGGUGCUAAGGUCCGUGCCCGAGAGGGAAACAACCCAGACUAUCAGCUAAGGUCCUUAAAUGUAUGCUAAGUUGCAAAAACGAAGUAGGACUGCACAGACAGCCAGGAUGUUGGCUUGGAAGCAGCCAUUCAUUUAAAGAGUGCGUAACAGCUCACUGGUCGAGCGGUUCUGCAUGGAGAAUAAGCGGGCAUAAGUGUACUACCGAAGCUAUAGCAAAGCAAUUUGGGUAGGGGAGCAUUGCGUAUGCGGCGAAGCGGACUUGUAAAGGUCCGUGGAGCGUACGGAAAAGCAAAUGUAGGAAUAAGUAACGAGAAAGCGGGCGAGAAACCCGCUCACCGAAAAACCAAGGGUUCCCCGGCUAUGUUAAUCAGCCGGGGGUCAGUCGGGACCUAAGGCUAAACCGAAGACAGGUGAUGCCGAUGGACAAACGUUUAAUAUUACGUUACUGGAAUAGAGUGCGACGGGGCGACCCGGUACUACCUCUCCGCGCGCAGACGGAAUAGCGCGUUAAAGGUCAAAGCGGGCCGUGCGGCAAAUCCCACGGCGGAAAGUGAUGACCGACAGUACGCGGCGGCUUCGGCCAAAGCGAUAGCGAGACGAAAAGCCGGCAAGAAAAACCUCUAAGCUUCAGCUUUAUUCCACCCGUACCGUAAACCGACACAGGUGGUUGGGAAGAGAAUUCUAAGGUGCUCGAGAGAAUCAUGGCUAAGGAACUAGGCAAAAUAGUCCUGUAACUUCGGGAAAAAGGUCACCGCAGCGAUGCGGUCUCAGGAAAAAGGUCCAGGCGACUGUUUAACAAAAACACAGGACUUUGCUAAAUCGAAAGAUGAUGUAUAAGGUCUGACACCUGCCCGGUGCUGGAAGGUUAAGAGGAGAUGUGAAUCGCAAGAGGCAGCAUUGAAUUGAAGCCCCAGUAAACGGCGGCCGUAACUAUAACGGUCCUAAGGUAGCGAAAUUCCUUGUCGGGUAAGUUCCGACCUGCACGAAUGGUGUAACGAUCCGGACACUGUCUCAGUCAUGAUCUCGGUGAAAUUGUAGUAUCGGUGAAGAUGCCGAUUACCCGCUGCGGGACGAAAAGACCCCGUGAACCUUCACUACAACUUAAUAUUGUUUUCGGGUAAGUGAUGCGUAGGAUAGGUGGGAGGCUGUGAAGCGGUUACUCCGGUAGUCGCAGAGCCAUUGUUGAAAUACCACCCUUUACUUAUUUGGGAACUAACUCCGCAGAGAGCGGAGGACACUAUUUGGUGGGUAGUUUGACUGGGGUGGUCGCCUCCAAAAAGAUAACGGAGGCUUCCAAAGCUGCCCUCAGCACGCUUGGUCAUCGUGCGUAGAGUGCAUUAGCAAAAGGGCGGUUGACUGCAAGACCUACAAGUCGAGCAGGUGCGAAAGCAGGGUAAAGUGAUCCGGUGGUUCCGUAUGGAAGGGCCAUCGCUCAAAGGAUAAAAGGUACUCCGGGGAUAACAGGCUGAUCCUCCCCAAGAGCUCACAUCGACGGGGGGGUUUGGCACCUCGAUGUCGGCUCGUCACAUCCCGGGGCUGGAGAAGGUCCCAAGGGUUCGGCUGUUCGCCGAUUAAAGUGGCACGCGAGCUGGGUUCAGAACGUCGCGAGACAGUUCGGUCUCUAUCUGCAGUGGGCGUUAGAAAUUUGCGUGGAUCUGACUCUAGUACGAGAGGACCGAGUUGGACGCACCUCCGGUGCACCGGUUGUCGCGCCAGCGGCAUCGCCGGGUAACCGUGUGCGGAAGGGAUAAGCACUGAAAGCAUAUAAGUGCGAAACCCACCACAAGAAAAGAUUUCUUUAUAAGGGACGUGGGAGACGACCACGUUGAUAGGCUACAGGUCUAAAGGCAGUAAUGUCAAAGCCGAGUAGUACUAAUCUCCCGUAACGUUUUAGCUU
rnacentral:rRNA from 1 species